UCCUCCUCCUGUUCACUAGCCUUUCCCAGGCACCCAGUCUGUGUCUGCACACAGAGCAGCCACGCAGCUGUGCUGAGACCCAAAAGCCCGGGAGCAGGAUUUGAGGACACCGAGGUAGCUUGAUGCGCAAGCUCCACCCUUCCACACCAGCCAUGGCUUCAGGAGGACGCUCGUACUCCAGGGAACCCAGAGAGCAGGCGGAGUCCGAAGCCGGCGGAACAGAGCCAGGCUGCACCCAAACCACACUGCAAAGCGAAGCCAGGAGUCUGGAGCCCCCCGGCCCUUGGCACCUGCCCAGCCUGCACAGUGAGCCAAGCCGCUGUAGCUUUUCUUCCAACCUUGAUGUACGCUACCCGAUGGCUCCAAGCCCAGGGUCUAUCUAGGCCUCGCCCUCACCCCCUCGGCCGCCCCUGCGCGCCCUCUGGCAGGUCCUGCCUCUUUCCUCCCUCAGGCCCCUCCCAUCUAUCCUGGGAGGUCCUGCCCUCCCUCCAAAGGCCCC